GCCAGGCAAGUGGCAUGUGCCUGUAGUCCCAGAUACUUGGGAGGCUGAGGCAGGAGGAUCACUUAAGCCCAGGACUUCUGGGCUCUAGUGCACUAUGCCGAUCGGAUGUCUGCACUAAGUUCAGCAUCAGUAUGGUGACCUCCCGGGAAUAGGUCACCACCAGGUUGCCUAAGGAGGGAUGAACUGGCCCAGGUCAGAAACAGAGCAGGUCAAAACUCGAGUGCUGAUCAGUAGUGGGAUCACACCUGUGAAUAGCCGCUGCACUCCAGCCUGGGUAACAUAGCAAGACCCCAUCUCUA
ensembl:misc_RNA Metazoa_SRP Metazoan signal recognition particle RNA